UACGGCCAUAUCAACUUGAAAUACCGGUUCCUGUAUAAUCAUCAUAGUGAAACAGCGAUGAGUCUGGUUAUUACUUAGAUGUGUGUCCGCUUGGGAAUACCAGGUGCUGUAA